rnacentral:rRNA from 1 species
AUUGAACGCUGGCGGCAUGCCUUACACAUGCAAGUCGAACGGUAACAGGUCUUCGGAUGCUGACGAGUGGCGAACGGGUGAGUAAUACAUCGGAACGUGCCUAGUAGUGGGGGAUAACUACUCGAAAGAGUGGCUAAUACCGCAUGAGAUCUACGGAUGAAAGCAGGGGAUCGCAAGACCUUGUGCUACUAGAGCGGCCGAUGGCAGAUUAGGUAGUUGGUGGGAUAAAAGCUUACCAAGCCGACGAUCUGUAGCUGGUCUGAGAGGACGAUCAGCCACACUGGGACUGAGACACGGCCCAGAAUCCUACGGGAGGCAGCAGUGGGGAAUUUUGGACAAUGGGCACAAGCCUGAUCCAGCAAUGCCGCGUGCAGGAUGAAGGCCUUCGGGUUGUAAACUGCUUUUGUACGGAACGAAAAGCCCCGGGUUAAUACCCUGGGGUCAUGACGGUACCGUAAGAAUAAGCACCGGCUAACCACGUGCCAGCCGCCGCAGUAA